GAUUCAAUGAGGAAAACCAUUAGCCACUUAUUCAAAUUGGAUGGUGUGGUGCACCUUCAUCUUGCUAUCCAACUUCUUAGCUUAUUUGCUUUAACUUUACUACAGUUAUAUAGCAGGAUAAGGAUCCAAUCUUGUGACGCCACUCCAUUUGCACCAUCAUCAAAAGUUGCACAUGAGUUGAUUCAGACUUUCAGAGUUCAUAGAACACCUAGCAGAGUUAAUCAGCCUGAAGGUAUAUCAGAUCCUAAGGAAAGAGGACCCGGUUCAGAUUUGUCACUACUCUGUGCUGUUGGAUAGCCAUGGUAUGUGUUAGUUUUAAUUUACCACAAAGAUUCGAUUCUUGGGAGAUAGGACAGGUGCAUACAUUACUUUUCUUAUGAAUCUGUUCUCUUUUUAUGCACUAUCUAUCUAUGAAAAUUUUCAAAGAAAUUGACGGCGGCGGCUUAGCGGCGGUGUGGUGAAUGGCGAAGCAACUAAAAUGGACAGAAGAGAGAUGGUAAGGCAUGGCUGGGAGACGUACAUAUUUGAGGAAAUACGAUUCAUAAUGUUCCAUAUUAACAAAAAAUUGCUAGUCUUUGUAAAGUAAUCCGAACAAUUUGUUGAUUCUGGGACAACUUUAUUCUCCAAUAUGAAUCUGUAAGAAAAGAUAUGGCAUACAUUUGUGUAAAUUGAUAAUGUAAGCUCAUCUUGAAACUCUAUUCUUUUUUCAAGAUUGAUCUACUUGGUGGUGCUAACUUCCAUUUUCUCAAAGCAGGGCAUGUGUGCUAUUUCUGAAAAAAGAAGGUUCCCUGUUGGCUGGCAUCCCUGAUGCUACACAGGAAUAUGUAGGAAAAGAAAUGGAGUCUCAUGAUUCUUUGGAUGUAGACGAGUAGGGCCAAUUACAAAUUGUUGGCUGUAAAUGACUUCCGUUUCUAGCUUUCAUAAAAUUUAGACAUGUACUACUCUUUAACAGUAUGAUGUGGUUGAUGGUGGUCCUAUCUGCUGGUUCAAAUUAUCACGUUGGAUAAUAUUGCUUUAACUAGCAGUUGCAGUGUUCUUACUAUUUUAUUUCCACAAUAUCAUCAUGUUUUGCUAUUGAUGUAAUGUUGUAUUUGUUGACUGAAAUCAAACCCUUCAGUCUUGGUGGACUCCUCAUCCAAAUAUGACAACAUCCACCAUCUGAUCAAACAUAGG
rnacentral:lncRNA from 1 species